UACGGCUAUGUCUCGUUGAAACACCCGUUCUCGUCUGAUCACUGAAGUUAAGCAACGUCGAACCCAGUCAAUACCUAGAUGGGUCAUCACUUGGGAAUACCAGCUUCUGUA